rnacentral:lncRNA from 1 species
UUGGAAACACUCGUGAAAGAGGCAAUUUCUGCUCUUCCCAAGCAUCCUCCUUCUCCUGCCAUGUUAAAACCAUUACUUCUGUGACACAUGGCAAAGUUUUCCAGCUGUAGUGGACCCAAGUAAAGAUCCUGGCUUAAGGGAAUCUGAGUGGUGCUAUUUACGGCCCUGCUGAGGAAGAUUAGCAGAGCUGCGGGACAGUGAUACACACAUAAAUUCUGCGAUGCUGUCGCUCGGGGCCCACAGGGAUGAAAGUGCAGCGCUAAUGGCACAGCUCAGCAUGCUGGGGGCAGCUUCGUGCAAGGAACACGACGAACUCUGUUCCCUUACUUGAAAGGAUUACUACCAGGAGAGUGACCAC